rnacentral:tRNA from 50 species
GUGGGUAUGGUGAAGCGGUUAACACGGCGGAUUGUGGCUCCGUUACGCGUGGGUUCGAUCCCCACUACUCACCCCA